GACGAACGCUGGCGGCGUGCUUAACACAUGCAAGUCGAACGGAAAGGCCCUGCUUUUGUGGGGUGCUCGAGUGGCGAACGGGUGAGUAACACGUGAGUAACCUGCCCUUGACUUUGGGAUAACUUCAGGAAACUGGGGCUAAUACCGGAUAGGAGCUCCUGCUGCAUGGUGGGGGUUGGAAAGUUUCGGCGGUUGGGGAUGGACUCGCGGCUUAUCAGCUUGUUGGUGGGGUAGUGGCUUACCAAGGCUUUGACGGGUAGCCGGCCUGCGAGGGUGACCGGCCACAUUGGGACUGAGAUACGGCCCAGAGUCCUACGGGAGGCAGCAGUGGGGAAUAUUGCACGAUGGGCGGAAGCCUGAUGCAGCAACGCCGCGUGCGGGAUGACGGCCUUCGGGUUGUAAACCGCUUUCGCCUGUGACGAAGCGUGAGUGACGGUAAUGGGUAAAGAAGCACCGGCUAACUACGUG
rnacentral:rRNA from 1 species